rnacentral:rRNA from 1 species
UCAGUGUUCGCCCAUUAAAGUGGUACGCGAGCUGGGUUCAGAACGUCGUGAGACAGUUCGGUCCCUAUCCAUCGCGGGCGUAAGAAACUUGAAAGGGGCUGCUCCUAGUACGAGAGGACCGGAGUGGACCGACCAAUGGUGUACCAGUCAUGGCGCCAGCCGUGCAGCUGGGUAGCUACGUCGGGGACGGAUAAACGCUGAAAGCAUCUAAGCGUGAAACCAGCCUAGAGAUGAGGUUUCUCAUU